rnacentral:sRNA from 1 species
AUGUACCCCCGCACACUCCGGUUCCUCCGCGCCGUCCGCAUCCACCUGACGACUUCUCGCUACGUUUUGUUAGCC